AACAUCAGUGCUCUGUUGAGCACAGUGGCCACUCAAAAGAUGGAGAGUGAGUUCAGCCUAUCAUUUGAGAUCCGAGUAUGAUUGAGGAAAUAUCCUGAAAUAGUCCAUGAUUUGAAGAAAUGGAUAGAUGGCUAGAAUAAUAUGCUAGAUGGUAGUCAAGUUACUAACUGCAGAAUUGACUUGAUAAAAUUCUCAUCGUGUCUCCUGAUUUAGGAGAAAAAUUGGGUCUGAUGAAUGGGUAAAAUUCCCAGGUGAAAAGAAUUUGGUCGUAAGAUUUGGCAGCACCCUGAGGUUUGCCAUAUCUGAUGGCCUGGCUUUAGUGGCAGCACCUAGUGAAGGCCAGGUGUCCUUCUGACAACCUUUACCGCCUACUAUUUUGUCCUUACUUAUGUUGAAUCACUACGCACAGGCUGUUGAAUUCAGCUGUCUGUGGAAAAAUUAUACCAACCACAUGGUUAGACAGAAGGAAUACAAUAUAUUGCUUAAUUUGUGUCUGAAAGCUAAGCAACAUGGAAAAAAACCAAGCCUGCUCCGUCACUUCCAUGAGGACAAAUGAAGACAAUUCAAGGAGGACACUGACAUGGAUCUGCCAGCUUUCUAAGCCUUUCCCCAGAUUCAAGUCCAGUCACAUCAAGUUCCCUUAUUAAAGGGUCUGCCCACUCAAAAGGAGAAAGUGCAAAAGAUGCUCAGCAAGGGUACCAAACGCAGUCAGAUGAUACUUCCUGACAGCAUCCAAGAGCAAGCCUCACCACCACAUCUGUCAAUAAAAAAGAAAACGAGAAGCUGCCAAUUUGUCUAUUUAUAGGUGCCAAUAACGUCCUGCACAGAACUUUAGUCAACAAGACUAUUUCAGAAGGGGUGGCCAACAGUGUGGCCUUUCACUGGCAAGGGCCACCUUUGUCAUCACUUAAGAAAUAAAACCUGCCAAGUGUUC